CUCCAUGUCCAUGAGUUUGUUUCUGUACUAGAUCUCAUCUGAUCUUGGAAGCAAAGCAGGGUCAUCCCUGUUUAGUACUUGGAUGGGGGACCUCCUGUGAAAUUUUUAAUGUCACUUGUAUC
rnacentral:rRNA from 1 species